rnacentral:rRNA from 1 species
AGAGUUUGAUCCUGGCUCAGGAUGAACGCUAGCUACAGGCUUAACACAUGCAAGUCGCGGGGCAUCAUGGUGAUUGCUUGCAAUUACUGAUGGCGACCGGCGCACGGGUGAGUAACGCGUAUCCAACCUACCCUUUACUACGGGAUAACCCGGCGAAAGUCGGACUAAUACCGUAUGUAGUCCAUCGGUAGGGGUUCUGAGAGGAAGGUCCCCCACACUGGAACUGAGACACGGUCCAGACUCCUACGGGAGGCAGCAGUGAGGAAUAUUGGUCAAUGGGCGUAAGCCUGAACCAGCCAAGUAGCGUGCAGGAUGACGGCCCUAUGGGUUGUAAACUGCUUUUAUGCGGGGAUAAAUGAGCCCACGUGUGGGAUUUUGCAGGUACCGCAUGAAUAAGGACCGGCUAAUUCCGUGCCAGCAGCCGCGGUAAUACGGAAGGUCCAGGCGUUAUCCGGAUUUAUUGGGUUUAAAGGGAGCGUAGGCCGCCUCUUAAGCGUGUUGUGAAAUGCGGGUGCUCAACAUCCGACUUGCAGCGCGAACUGGGGGGCUUGAGUGCGCCGAAAGUAGGCGGAAUUCGUGGUGUAGCGGUGAAAUGCUUAGAUAUCACGAAGAACUCCGAUUGCGAAGGCAGCUUACUGUAGCGCAACUGACGCUGAUGCUCGAAAGCGUGGGUAUCGAACAGGAUUAGAUACCCUGGUAGUCCACGCGGUAAACGAUGGAUGCUCGUUGUUGGCCCUUAUGGUCAGUGACCAAGCGAAAGCGUUAAGCAUCCCACCUGGGGAGUACGCCGGCAACGGUGAAACUCAAAGGAAUUGACGGGGGCCCGCACAAGCGGAGGAACAUGUGGUUUA